AUCCUCAGCUAUACCACCCUGGAUGGGCCCAUUCUCUCUGAUCCCUGAAGCUAAGCAGGAUGGGUCCUGGUUAGUACCUGGACGGGAGAGAUA
rnacentral:rRNA from 1 species